rnacentral:lncRNA from 1 species
UUUUUAUUUUUUGGCCAUGCCUAGAGCAGGCAAAUGUUCCAGGGUCAGGAACUGAAUCCAUGUCACAGCAGCCACCUGAGCCAAAGCAAGUGAUAACAUAGAUCCUUAACCUGCAAAGCUACCAGGAACACCCCAAAGCAUGUUUUAAAGCCAAGUGAUAACAUGGCUCAUAAAAGAGCUACUGCUUCCAAUAGAAUAUUACCAAUGAUAUUAAAAUUGCUGUGAAGUGAUUGGUCAGUUCAUUGCCAAAGAGAAACAAAUUGUGUUCUGUUGGAUAGGUGACUUGUAAGAGAGGAUCAUUUUCCAUUAAAAAGAAAAGAUGGGGGAAGAAAAACCUGACUAAGUUGAGGGUGGGGAGUGAUAACAAUUAACAAAACAAACAAUAGAUUCAGUGAUGAGUUAAAGAUGAAUUAGAUAUUCUUAUCAUCUGAGAAGGAAGCCAAUACAAAUCAAUAGUUCUUACAGUUCUCCAAGGGUACCCUACUUGCUAGACUUUAAAGGGAUUAGUCCAACAGCUACUCAUUAAAAAACAAAACAAAGAGUACUUACAAGUGAGAAUGGUAACCCAGCAAAGAGACCUAUGAAACUUGCAUCUUACCAAAGCUUUUUUAGUGCCCUAAUUACCAUACCUAAUACUGUGAUAGUAGAUAGUGACACCCAUAGGUAUUUGUUGAGUGAAGAAAUCUGAUAAACUCUUUAUAGAAUUGAUCUUAAGAAGUCUUCUCAUUACAUCCAAAGAUAGUACUCAUUACUGUGUCAGAUCACCCCAUCGCUAAGAAUUUUAAAUUCUUAAAUCAUAAAUGUCCUUGUUACAUAAACUGAGAUUGGUCUUUAAAGAAAAUCUAGCCAUUCAUUUUAUAUUACUCCUUAGAGAAUUAAAAUGAAUCCCUCUUCUGCCUGGCAAUCUUUCAAAUAUCUGAAGAAAGCUAUCUUAAGGAAAUAUUAGAGAGAUGCUAUUUUAUGAUUUCUCUGCACUGUAUCUCAAAACUAUUUCACCCUACGUACUGUUUCACAAUAUUAGCCAGAUACUUCUGGAAAAAAGGUUUGCAAGGCCAAAGCAAAUUUACCUGAACAUAUUCUCUUGCCUUCUAAAUUAAUUGAGCCAUCAUGUAAAGUGUCAGAAACUAUUUCCUACUGCCUCAGGAUGAGCACUGUGGCAAUGGGUGAGAAGCAAAUUAGAGUUCCAAUAUGUCCUGCUAAGCAUGGGGAAGUCAGUCACUUGCCUUAGGGAUCAGGUCAGUUUCUACUGAAAGAACAUCUAUGAUGAACUAAAUACAAGGGACCCCACCCUUCAAUAGAUAUCAUGUAAGUGGUCCAUAUUCUUAUGUAGCCCUAUGGGGGAAAGAGCCCCAAUUAUGCCCAAGAUUAAUUUCCCUGCAAUCCUCUGGGAUAGUGGCUAUACACCUAAAUUAAUUUUAGUCAGGGAAUCCACAGAAAUGUGCGUUACCUUGCACACUUUAUUUGGAAACAAAAUAUGCCAAUGACAUAGCAAUUGCAUCUGCCUUAAAACUGGUUGGAACUCUAAGCUUUAUGUAACUUCCUUCCUUGCCUGCUAGUCUACAGAGCAAUAUGGAAGAGUAAAGAGCAGAAGGUACAAUGCCAGGGAAAAAAUAGCUUUUAAACCUAUAACCUAGAACAAGAAUGUUUUACCUGAGUCUGAGCUUUUUCAGAUGUAAAACAGACAGAGUAAUGCUAUUAGGCACUAUUUGCAGCACAAUCAUGGGAUAUCUACCAACAAAGAACAGAGAUAUAAAGCAAAUAAAAAUGUGGCUAGAGAGUUUAAUCUACAUUUAGCACUUUAGAGCAGAAUCAGGCAAAAUGUCUUUAAUAUGACCAAACAUUUCACAAGCUGGCAGGACUAGGUGUAACCUAUUUCAUCAAUUCUAGGGUACUCCAUUUUGUCCACCUUGUAACAUUUCUAAAAUGGAGAUGCAUCUUCUAAUUAAUGGUAUGUCAGAGUUAACUGAGGAUAUUUCUAUAAUUUUAAUCAUAUAAACAGUGGUGAACCUCAUAUAAGCACCUUUCAGAGGUGAGGAUAUCUAGAAUCAGGGCUUUUGUUUAGGUGGUUUUAUAUCAAAUCUAAAGCCAUUAAGGUAAUUAGAUGCAUCAAGCUGCCUUCUGAUUACCAUUGGCCUAUCAUUGUUGGGGACAUGGCUCAGAUCAUCAGUGUCGAAAAAUGAACAAGGGAAGGUCUCAACAAGGCUCUUUACUUCUGCAGAAGGGUGUGGGUACUCAAAAAGCAUGCAAAGAAGCAAAGACCCAAUUUGUCCCUAAUGCAGGUGAUGUACCUGUCCCCUUCCCAUUGGUCAGGUCAGGGCAAGCAUUAUUUCUUCUCAGUUGGCUAAUUUGAAACAAAUUGUUACUCUGAGAAGAGGGAAAGAGGAGGGGGGUUGUGGGAAGGCAUUUUGGCUGAAACCUGAGCAAAAUGGAGUAACUAAGAUUGCCUUUGAUAGAUAAGACAUUGUGUUACUUCCCACAAUUUCCCCCUUUCAUUUUUUUUUCAAAUAUUCUUUUGUUCAAAUUCUUUGAGCAUGGCUUGGCUCUCAGGCUCUAUUGUGUCCAUCAGGAGUAUAUUGGCUUGGGGGGGGAGGAGUCCCAGUUGCUUUUUUUGGGCAGUUUCUUUUAAUUUUUUAAAAAGUUCCCUUGCACAAGAAAUUAUACAACAUGCAACUAAGACACGUACACUAACUACAGCAAUUUGAGGGGUAAAGAUUGAAGCUAUUAGUCCCUUCCAUUUUUUUUUUUUAAACAAUUUUCUAUAAGGUCUGAGAAGGGGUCAUUAAUACCAGAAUUCUAUGAAAGCUCAUCUGCUAAGGUCGUUAGUCCACACAGGGCCUUGGUGAUGGUGCUGUCUGGGGCAGUGUUGUUGAGAAUGAAUGUCCAGCACUGGACACCAAUUAUUACACAGACUCCACCCUUUUCUGCCAGCAUCAUGUCUAAAGCAAGGCUAUUUUCCCAUGCCAUUUGACUAGUUGGCCCUAGCUGUUUAGCUAUUUCUUUAAUGGCAUCUCUAGUGUAAUUAAUGAAUCUUUGUUGAUUGUAAUAGAUGUAGUUUAUCCAAUCAACAUUUUUGUUUAUGGUUGACCACCAAAAGAGAGCAGCUUCA